UGCGGAGGCUCGUUGGCUACCUCCUAAAUCCUAGUGAACAAAAAAUUAAUUGGCGAAAAUAACUACGCUCUCGCUGCUUAAUCGAAGUACAGUAGAUUAGCUUUAUUCCGGUACAAGGUGCUGGAACGGGAUAUCGCUCAACGGAUGUGGUUCCGAAUCUUGUUGAUCAAGCGGUGCAGGCAAAUCGGAAAUAGUUCAUGUACGCCUCGUUGCAUGGAUGAAAUUUUAGAGGAUAAGGGUAUGAUUGGUGAUUAAGGUCUUGUCAUACCUCGAAAAUUAAAGGCUGGAAUAAGCA
rnacentral:tmRNA from 1 species